rnacentral:lncRNA from 1 species
UUUAAUUGUAAAAUUGCUACAUGAGAAGACAAGUUGUUAGAUGAAAUUCAAAUAUUCUCUAUGUUUGUGUUGUGUAGGUCAAAAAAUAAUAAACAAAGAUGAUAUUGAUUGUGAUGACCAAGAGAUUCAUUUUAAGACGCAUCAAUCUUCAUCAUCUUUAAAUAAAAAGGAUAAACAUUAUGGAUUUCCAUUAUCUCAAGCAAAUUUAUGACAAAUUCGCUCAUGGCCAAAUCUAAUAUGGCAGCUGGAAAAGGCAAAGGAUCUUUUUAGCCUAACUAAGCUAUACAACUUAAUAAAAGUUUGUGCAUCGACUUCUCACGAAUCAUACACAGAGUCGAUUGUCGAUGCAAUAAUUGCUGAUUCGUGAAAACGGGCAACUUUUGCUUGUCUUUUAAGUACCUUAAAUCCAUCGU